rnacentral:snRNA from 1 species
GUGCUCACUUUGGCAGCACAUAUACUAAAACUGGAACAAUACAGAGAAAAUUAGCAUGGCCCCUGUGCAAGGGUGACGUGCAAAUUCAUGAAGUGUCCCAUAUUUAA